rnacentral:tRNA from 1 species
GGGGUUGUGGCUCAGCUGGUAGAGCGCUCACCUCGCGAGUGUGAGACCCUGGGUUCGACCCUCAGCAACACAU